UACAGAGGGUGCGAGCGUUAAUCGGAAUUACUGGGCGUAAAGGGCGCGUAGGCGGCUAUGUAAGUUAGAUGUGAAAGACUUGGGCUUAACCUGAGAACAGCAUUUAAGACUGUAUAGCUAGAGUAGGGUAGAGGAAAGAGGAAUUUCCGGUGUAGCGGUGAAAUGCGUAGAUAUCGGAAAGAACAUCAGUGGCGAAGGCGACUUUCUGGGCUUAUACUGACGCUGAGGCGCGAAAGCAUGGGUAGCAAACAGG
rnacentral:rRNA from 1 species